rnacentral:lncRNA from 10 species
AGCAGCUGUGAAUCAGCCCUCUGGCUCCAUAAGACGUUGGAAUACUUUUCUAAAGGGAUCCUCCUUUGUACUGUUCCCUCUCUCUUUCUCUCUCUCUCACACACACACACAAUUACACGUGAUCACACACAUGGCUUCUCUCCCUCUCACACACACGUUAUUACACGUGAUCACACACAUGGGCUCUCUCAGACAGUAUUACACAUGAUCACACACAUGGUUUCUCUCUCACACACACAUGCUAUUACACAUGAUCACACACGUGGCUUCUCUCACACACACAUUAUUACACAUGAUCACACACAUGGCUUCUCUCACACACACGCUAUUAAACGUGAUCACACCUGGCUUCUCACACACACAUGCUAUUACACAUGAUCACACACGGCUUCUCACACACAUGCUAUUACACAUGAUCACACACAUGGCUUCUCUCACACACAUUACACAUGAUCACACAUGGUUUCUCACAUACAUGCUAUUACACAUGAUCACACACGGCUUCUCUCAUGCAUGUUAUUACACAUGAUCAUACACAUGGCUUCUCACACACAUGCUAUUACACAUGAUCACACAUGGCUUCUCUCACACACAUUACACAUGGUCACACAUGGCUUCUCUCACAUGCGUUAUUACACAUGAUCAUACAUGGCUUCUCUCUCACAUGCUAUUACACAUGAUCACACAUGGCUUCUCAUGCAUUUUAUUACACAUGACCACACACAUGGCUUCUCUCACACACGUUAUUACACAUGGUCACACAUGGCUUCUCUCACGUUAUUACACAUGAUCACACACAUGGCUUCUCU